GCCCGAAUGGCACAGUGGUAAUGCGUCUCACUCGUAUACGAUGUGACGCGACAUGAGAAGAUCCGCGGUUCGAUUCCGCGUUUGGGCA